AUGUGCCGUGCUGUGCAGAAUACACGUCUAGUUGCAAGAGAAGAUUUGCUCAAGUUCAACUGCCGGGCGACGUCAUUGGAGAACACCUUGGAGCAAAUCCUCCAUACGUUUUUCUUCAUGCUCGGCCCGCCACUGAUGGAUAAUCUGUUCACCUUCAACAGUCGUUGUUCCAGCCUAUCUAGGUCUGCAGUAGAUGCUAGAGGAAAGACACCACCCUCUUCCUCUUCAGCCAUCAGCAUUUGGGGUACAAUACGUCUGUUCCCCACUAGAGACUGGACCAGUGAAGUCAGAUGGUUGAUCUUCAUGUCCAUUUUCUCUAGUGUUUCCAGAAUUGCCCUUUCUACAGCUGCAACACAGAAGAUAAUUUAA
rnacentral:lncRNA from 1 species